AUGGCAUUGCUUCCGGUUUGCUCAGCUUUUGAAUGGCAUGUGGGAGAGAAAGGAAAGAAGCACACCCUUCAUCAUGGUGAUUCAUCCAGCUGGUUGGUGCCUGCCUCUGCUCCUAUCAAUCAAUCAUUGAUCAGCAGCCGACAUGCCUGGUUGUGCCAAGUAGGACACGAGGGACCGGGUUUCUUCUGUCCUGUGUGCUCAUCUGGAAACACAAGAACAAUAGUUUUCGUGCCCUGUUCCUGGGUGAAACUUCAUGCUGAGUUGUGAGCAUGAGAGAAAGAGAGAUGCCCAUCAGCGCAUCUCACAUCUCAAACAGCCCAAAUCAGGGUACUGUCCCAACAUGCAGGAAUUGUAAUCAUGCUUUCUAUAAAUAUUGCCCGUCUUGGCAAGAUGUGUGGAUCCUUUAAUGUGUAGACCCACCCCAAUGGCAAGUCAUGCCAAGAAGAUUAUUGGAUUCACAUGAAAAACAUAAUUAACACCAAAAAAUGGCUUGGGGAGAAAAAGGGAGAGAGAGAAUCAGGCAGUGUUUUAGGCACACAUAUUUGGAAGUAAAUUCUAUUUACUAUAGUUGAAUGCUCCCAAUGUUUAGAAAGAAGAGAAGGACUGAUGCAAAGAGAAGAAAAUAAACUUUCCCCAACUUGAUUUUUGCACGAGAGAUGAUUAAUGAAAGAGAGUAUUUUGUGUCAAAAAUUAAAAGUAUAGAACAGGGAUAGCUGUUUACUUGGCUUGAAGGGAAAUAAGCCCAAAGAAGAUGACAUGUUCCAAAUGAGUUAAAGAUGGUUUUGCACUGAAAACACUGAGCCUUUGGAACUGAUUACUCCAGGAUAUGAGCAAUGGUAGAAACCAAAACAUAAUAAUAAUAACAAUACUUGGAUAAUGGUAACAGGUACUCAUAAAAAUAUAGGAGACCCCAGAGAACAUCAUCUGAUACUAAUACAUCUCAACAUUUACGUAUGUCAAAUAUAACACUCCUGUUGAAAUUUGGAUGAGAUAGGGACCCCUAACUCUUUUAUUAAUCUGAUGACAGACUGUAGGGGCUACUACAAUUUACAGAGUGAAGCUGAGGAGUGAGAAAAGUCUCCCAGUGAGUUGCUUGGGCUUGAAAUGAGAAGCACUUAUUAGUAUUGUUAGUUGAAGCAUCUAUGCCCCAGCGUGGUAGGCUGUCUGAUAUAAUAUAACGAAUUGCAUGACCUGCGCAGUUUCUUUAGUCUGGUUGAUAAUUCCUGCAUCAUAACAGAGUUUCCAGGGCAAAAUGGGCACUAAUUCUGGAGCAUACAUUCUCCGUCAAGGGAUUUUAUAAUGAAUAUUAAUACUGGAAAAGCUCCCCUCUCCAGUGAGGUUAUAAGACAUAUUUAAGAAGUAGGGAGGAGAGAGAGACCAGAGAGGAAAAAUAUGCGAAAACAUCCUGACAAGUGGCAUUACUAGGGUUAGAACAAGGAAUGGAGGUAGCCCCUGAUGACUGGAAAACCCAACAAGCAACCUGAUGAUUUCUUUUUCCCAGAGUAGACCUGUCAAAAGUCAGUCAGGUGCCAUGUGAGCAAGAGGAAAGGAAGAUCUUGACCUAGAUAGAUGCCCCUUUCAUGUGUGGCCCCAGCAGCAGACAGCCCACUAAUGGAUUUCAUUUGAAAAAUGGCAUGCACUGGGCCAAUGCUACAUUUGACCUGCAGGAAGAAAAGAAACCACAACCAAGGGGAAUUAGGGGCUCUUCUACACAUGCACUAAAACCCAGAAGAAACCAGGACAAAGAGUGGUGUUUAAAAGGUGCACUUAAAACCUGAUUCAGUGCAUCUUGGAGAGAAUUUUAACAAAUAUCUUCCACUGGAUGUAUCCUGUCAUUCAUCUUGUGGAUUUGUAAAAUCCGCUACAAAGGAAGGUGUCAGGGUGGCAAGAGACCAUUUCCUGGGGCUAACAGGUCUGUGUCUGGACUUGCUGUUAAGGUCCCACGAUUUUUAAACCCACAUAUUUAAUUCAAAUUUUGAUGUUGUCUGGAAGUGUCCUAGGUCUGGUAUUGGGAGAGAUGGAAAGACAAAGGCAAUACCGACCACUCUUGCCACCUG
ensembl:lncRNA